rnacentral:rRNA from 1 species
AGUGAACGCUGGCGGUAGGCCUAACACAUGCAAGUCGAACGGCAGCACAGUAAGAGCUUGCUCUUACGGGUGGCGAGUGGCGGACGGGUGAGGAAUACAUCGAAAUCUACUUUUUCGUGGGGGAUAACGUAGGGAAACUUACGCUAAUACCGCAUACGACCUACGGGUGAAAGCAGGGGAUCUUCGGACCUUGCGCGAUUGAAUGAGCCGAUGUCGGAUUAGCUAGUUGGCGGGGUAAAGGCCCACCAAGGCGACGAUCCGUAGCUGGUCUGAGAGGAUGAUCAGCCACGCUGGAACUGAGACACGGUCCAGACUCCUACGGGAGGCAGCAGUGGGGAAUAUUGGACAAUGGGCGCAAGCCUGAUCCAGCCAUACCGCGUGGGUGAAGAAGGCCUUCGGGUUGUAAAGCCCUUUUGUUGGGAAAGAAAGGCAGCAGGUUAAUACCCCGCUGUUCUGACGGUACCCAAAGAAUAAGCACCGGCUAACUUCGUG